GAAACUGCGAAUGGCUCAUUAUAUCAGUUAUAGUCUACUCGAUAGUACCUUACUACUUGGAUACCCGUAGUAAUUCUAGAGCUAAUACAUGCGCAAAUACCCAACUGCUUGUCGGGCGGGUAGCAUUUAUUAGAUUGAAACCAAUGCAGUCUUCGGGCUGGUAUUGUGUUGAGUCAUAAUAACUGUGCGGACCGCAUCUCUGCGGUAAAUCGAUUGAGUUUCUGCCCUAUCAGCUUUGGAUGGUAGGAUAUGGGCCUACCAUGGCAUUAACGGGUAACGGGGAAUUAGGGUUUGAUUCCGGAGAGGGAGCCUUAUAAACGGCUACCACAUCCAAGGAAGGCAGCAGGCGCGUAAAUUACCCAAUCCUGACACAGGGAGGUAGUGANNCAUAAUAAACAUGCUCUGGCUCUUCGAGUCGGGCAAUUGGAAUGAGAANCAUUAAAUCCCUUAACGAGGAUCAUUGGAGGGGCAGUCUGGUGCCAGCAGCCGCGGUAAUCCAGCUCCAAUANCGUAUAUUAAAGUUGUUUGCAGUUAAAAAGCUCGUAAUUGGAUUCUGGGUUGACCGUCCGGUCCGUCUCCUUUGAAAAUGUGUACUAUGGAUGUUUGA
rnacentral:rRNA from 1 species